AGAGUUUGAUCCUGGCUCAGGAUGAACGCUGGCGGCGUGCUUAACACAUGCAAGUCGAACGGAGAACCCCUGACGGAGUUUUCGGACAACUGAAGGGAAUUCUUAGUGGCGGACGGGUGAGUAACGCGUGAGGAACCUGCCUCGGAGUGGGGAAUAACAGCCCGAAAGGGUUGCUAAUACCGCAUGAUGCAGUUGGGCCGCAUGGCUCUGACUGCCAAAGAUUUAUCGCUCUGAGAUGGCCUCGCGUCUGAUUAGCUAGUUGGCGGGGUAACGGCCCACCAAGGCGACGAUCAGUAGCCGGACUGAGAGGUUGACCGGCCACAUUGGGACUGAGACACGGCCCAGACUCCUACGGGAGGCAGCAGUGGGGAAUAUUGGGCAAUGGGCGCAAGCCUGACCCAGCAACGCCGCGUGAAGGAUGAAGGCUUUCGGGUUGUAAACUUCUUUUAUUCGGGACGAAGCAAGUGACGGUACCGAAUGAAUAAGCCACGGCUUAACUACGUGCCAGCAGCCGCGGU
rnacentral:rRNA from 1 species